UGUUUCGGCAAGGGGGUCAUCCCGACUUACCAACCCGAUGCAAACUGCGAAUACCGGAGAAUGUUAUCACGGGAGACACACGGCGGGUGCUAACGUCCGUCGUGAAGAGGGAAACAACCCAGACCGCCAGCUAAGGUCCCAAAGUCAUGGUUAAGUGGGAAACGAUGUGGGAAGGCCCAGACAGCCAGGAUGUUGGCUUAGAAGCAGCCAUCAUUUAAAGAAAGCGUAAUAGCUCACUGGUCGAGUCGGCCUGCGCGGAAGAUGUAACGGGGCUAAACCAUGCACCGAAGCUGCGGCAGCGACACUAUGUGUUGUUGGGUAGGGGAGCGUUCUGUAAGCCUGUGAAGGUGUGCUGUGAGGCAUGCUGGAGGUAUCAGAAGUGCGAAUGCUGACAUAAGUAACGAUAAAGCGGGUGAAAAGCCCGCUCGCCGGAAGACCAAGGGUUCCUGUCCAACGUUAAUCGGGGCAGGGUGAGUCGACCCCUAAGGCGAGGCCGAAAGGCGUAGUCGAUGGGAAACAGGUUAAUAUUCCUGUACUUGGUGUUACUGCGAAGGGGGGACGGAGAAGGCUAUGUUGGCCGGGCGACGGUUGUCCCGGUUUAAGCGUGUAGGCUGGUUUUCCAGGCAAAUCCGGAAAAUCAAGGCUGAGGCGUGAUGACGAGGCACUACGGUGCUGAAGCAACAAAUGCCCUGCUUCCAGGAAAAGCCUCUAAGCAUCAGGUAACAUCAAAUCGUACCCCAAACCGACACAGGUGGUCAGGUAGAGAAUACCAAGGCGCUUGAGAGAACUCGGGUGAAGGAACUAGGCAAAAUGGUGCCGUAACUUCGGGAGAAGGCACGCUGAUAUGUAGGUGAAGUCCCUCGCGGAUGGAGCUGAAAUCAGUCGAAGAUACCAGCUGGCUGCAACUGUUUAUUAAAAACACAGCACUGUGCAAACACGAAAGUGGACGUAUACGGUGUGACGCCUGCCCGGUGCCGGAAGGUUAAUUGAUGGGGUCAGCGCAAGCGAAGCUCUUGAUCGAAGCCCCGGUAAACGGCGGCCGUAACUAUAACGGUCCUAAGGUAGCGAAAUUCCUUGUCGGGUAAGUUCCGACCUGCACGAAUGGCGUAAUGAUGGCCAGGCUGUCUCCACCCGAGACUCAGUGAAAUUGAACUCGCUGUGAAGAUGCAGUGUACCCGCGGCAAGACGGAAAGACCCCGUGAACCUUUACUAUAGCUUGACACUGAACAUUGAGCCUUGAUGUGUAGGAUAGGUGGGAGGCUUGGAAGUGUGGACGCCAGUCUGCAUGGAGCCGACCUUGAAAUACCACCCUUUAAUGUUUGAUGUUCUAACGUUGACCCGUAAUCCGGGUUGCGGACAGUGUCUGGUGGGUAGUUUGACUGGGGCGGUCUCCUCCUAAAGAGUAACGGAGGAGCACGAAGGUUGGCUAAUCCUGGUCGGACAUCAGGAGGUUAGUGCAAUGGCAUAAGCCAGCUUGACUGCGAGCGUGACGGCGCGAGCAGGUGCGAAAGCAGGUCAUAGUGAUCCGGUGGUUCUGAAUGGAAGGGCCAUCGCUCAACGGAUAAAAGGUACUCCGGGGAUAACAGGCUGAUACCGCCCAAGAGUUCAUAUCGACGGCGGUGUUUGGCACCUCGAUGUCGGCUCAUCACAUCCUGGGGCUGAAGUAGGUCCCAAGGGUAUGGCUGUUCGCCAUUUAAAGUGGUACGCGAGCUGGGUUUAGAACGUCGUGAGACAGUUCGGUCCCUAUCUGCCGUGGGCGCUGGAGAACUGAGGGGGGCUGCUCCUAGUACGAGAGGACCGGAGUGGACGCAUCACUGGUGUUCGGGUUGUCAUGCCAAUGGCACUGCCCGGUAGCUAAAUGCGGAAGAGAUAAGUGCUGAAAGCAUCUAAGCACGAAACUUGCCCCGAGAUGAGUUCUCCCUGACUCCUUGAGAGUCCUGAAGGAACGUUGAAGACGACGACGUUGAUAGGCCGGGUGUGUAAGCGCAGCGAUGCGUUGAGCUAACCGGUACUAAUGAACCGUGAG
rnacentral:rRNA from 1 species